UACGUAGGGUGCAAGCGUUGUCCGGAAUUAUUGGGCGUAAAGAGCUCGUAGGUGGCCUGUCGCGUCGGCUGUGAAAACUCGGGGCUCAACUCCGAGCUUGCAGUCGAUACGGGCAGGCUAGAGUUCGGCAGGGGAGACUGGAAUUCCUGGUGUAGCGGUGAAAUGCGCAGAUAUCAGGAGGAACACCGGUGGCGAAGGCGGGUCUCCUGGGC
rnacentral:rRNA from 1 species